GAAUUUAAGCUGAUCAGCCAAUGAUUAAAUACAUUCACUAGUUAUUUACUAUUUGAUACGCGUACCAAGUGUUCGGUGUAAACUAGAGCAUAGAAGUCUGUGCCAUAGACGGAGCAUCACCUAUCACUUACGACGAGAGGGGGUUGACAUUCGGGGUGAAGAGGUACUCCAUAAACUUCGGUUGAAUUCGAGUACGCUCGAUAAUAUUCGACUAAUAAUUCAGCAUAUGCAUAUGACUGUAAGCGACUGCAAGCAAGUUUUUGUGUGCAUCAUGAGCUUUUGUGUAAUAUUUGGAUGCAAUAAUCGCAUAAAUAAAAAAAAUAUUGAGCAAGUGGAAAAAGAAAAAGCUGCAAACAAAAAAUUUUCAUUCCAUUUGUUUCCACGAGAUGUUGAGAAAAGAAACAAAUGGCUUAAAGCUUUAAAUUUAGAAAAUUAUAAUCCACCUAAAACGGCUGCUGUCUGCUCUGCACAUUUUAAGGAAAAAAAUUAUGUACAAAAUUGUUCGUUUCGUAAAUUAAAAGAAGAUGCUGUUCCAUAUUUAUCUGAAGAAAGGAUUGCCUGCGCAAGAGAGGAACAUCAAGAAACAAAUUUUGUUACAGAAAAUAUAGAAACAGAUAACAUAAAUAAUACAGAAUCUGUUAUGACUAAAAUUCCAUCAUGUAACACAAUGGUUCAUCGCUCUACAAGUAUCUCUCCUGAGAGGAUAUUAAACUCACCAAUAAAGACUCGAUUACGUCAGGUUUAUGCAAAUAAAAUUAAAUCUUUAAAAAGAAAACUGCAUCUUCAAAAUUAUAAUCACAAGAAAAUGCAAACAAAACUUCAAUCAAUGAAGAUUAUUAUAAAGGAUCUGCAAAAACGAAAUCUUAUUACACCAGAUGAAGGCGACAUAUUGCAACAUUUAGAGAAAGAGCAAGAAACUCUUGACGAAAAUAUACUCCAAAAUGAUUCUAUUCAAAAUAUUAAUCCAGUGAUUUCAACUGAUUUCAACACUAAAAUGUUUAAAGAUUCAAGCAUUCAAACUGAUGACUGUAACACACUUAUAUUACAAAUCAAAUAUAUUUUUAAUGAACAAGGUACUAUCCGACAAGCUAAUGAAAUAAAAUACUUGCAAAACAAAAUGCUAAAAUUAGAAGAAGAGCAAGCAAGAGCUAAUAUCUUAAAAUCAAAAUAUGAAAAUGAAAAAUUAUUACAGUUGAAAACAAUAAGUAAAAUGAAAUUUUAUAAGAAAUGAUACUCAGUCUUAAGUAAAAGAUUUAAAAAAAUUCCAGUUAAAAAAAAAUUGUUACAAGAUUAUUUAAUUUAAUUUAAGACCAAAUGGUCUUCUCAAUGUUUGAAACUUGCAACACGAAUAAGAUAUGCUGUUGGAUGGAAGGGCUAUUUAUUUUAAAAAAAUGAUCUCCAGUUAUCAAUACCAUCUUAUUCUACUUUAUGCAGAUACACCAGUAGACUUAAUUUUGCUCCAGGUACAUUAAAAAGAGAUUCUUAUGUAACCCAGCCUUACUCGCUUACUUUUGGAAUAAAAUGAAAAAAUUUGCUUGAGUUACGAGCCAGAAAUGACGUAGAUUGCGAUUAACAAAAUAUAAAUAAUUUAUGAAAAACCCUGUAUAUCGAAAAACCAAACCCAUAGCAACAAUCCUUGUAAAAUUUGGAAUAAAAUGAGACCUUUUGCAUAA
rnacentral:misc_RNA from 1 species